rnacentral:rRNA from 1 species
GCAAGUCGAACGAGAGCGAAGGAGCUUGCUCCUUCAAUCUAGUGGCAGACGGGUGAGUAACGCGUGGGUAAUCUACCUUUGAGUGGGGCAUACCUGGCCGAAAGGCCAGUUAAUUCCGCAUGAAAUAGUCAUCCCCUUGGUGGAGACUAUGAAAGCCCGGGAUCUUCGGACCGGGUGCUUGAAGAGGAGCUCGCGUUAGAUUAGCUAGUUGGUGAGGUAAUGGCUCACCAAGGCUACGAUCUAUAGCCGGCCUGAGAGGGUGAUC